rnacentral:rRNA from 1 species
AUUGAACGCUGGCGGCAUGCCUUACACAUGCAAGUCGAACGGUAACAGGUCUUCGGAUGCUGACGAGUGGCGAACGGGUGCGUAAUACAUCGGAACGUGCCCGAUCGUGGGGGAUAACGGAGCGAAAGCUUUGCUAAUACCGCAUACGAUCUACGGAUGAAAGCAGGGGACCGCAAGGCCUUGCGCGGACGGAGCGGCCGAUGGCAGAUUAGGUAGUUGGUGGGAUAAAAGCUUACCAAGCCGACGAUCUGUAGCUGGUCUGAGAGGACGACCAGCCACACUGGGACGGAGACACGGCCCAGACUCCUACGGGAGGCAGCAGUGGGGAAUUUUGGACAAUGGGCGAAAGCCUGAUCCAGCCAUGCCGCGUGCAGGAUGAAGGCCUUCGGGUUGUAAACUGCUUUUGUACGGAACGAAAAGACUCUUUCUAAUAAAGAGGGUCCAUGACGGUACCGGAAGAAUAAGCACCGGCUAACUACGUG